rnacentral:pre_miRNA from 1 species
CUCUGUAUUCUUCCACAGCUUUCUUGAACUGCAACCUUCUUCAGAUUAGUUCUAUUCUCACAUAUAUAUAUUACCAUAGCAUAGUUAUGUUAAUUUAAAUUGCAUCUGUUCGACUGAUUUGCGGUUCAAUAAAGCUGUGGGAAGAUACAGACA